AUACAUGAAAUACCCCAUGUGCUCUAUAGCCUUAUGACAAUUGAUGGAAAACCCUGCGCCGGCUAAAUUAGUGAACCGAGAGGAGGAGCCAGUAUAAAGGCAACAUAUGCAUAUGAUGAGAGUACAGAUUAGGGGAAAGGGAUCAAUAUAGGUUCUGCAAUAUUCUGCUACUUCAGCCCAGAGGUUACACACACCCUGCCGUCUCUGAUUCCCUGGACUCUUCUAAAUCUUAAUAGAGAAUGUUUUAUUUCUCUACCUAUAUUGCUUGGACUGGAGUCUGGUUAUCAAUAUACAGUCAAUAUUAGGUAUAAUAUUGACUGUAUAUUAUCAAUAUAUAGUUCAUAUUACUAAGUAUAGCAUAUGGAAGCUCCCAGGCCAGGGGUGGAAUUGGAGCUACAGCUGUGUACUUUGCCACAGCCAGGGCAACACUGGAUCAGAGACGCAUCUGUGACCUCUGCCUCAGCUUGAGACAACACCAGAUCCUUAACCCACUGAGCAAGGCCAGGGAUCAAACCCACAUCCUCACAGAGACAACAUCGGGUGCUUAAUCUGCUGAGCCACGACGGGAACUUCCUAUUAUUUUUAAAUCAAAUUUUCAAUUGUGUAGCCCAGUGUAAUCACCUUUGGGGCUAAUGCCCCCACUACCAAAUGCCAAAUUAUACUUAGGCCAGCAGGAACAGGUGUAGCUUGACCUGAUUCUUCUAAUACCAGAACAAAUGCCAUCCUAACUAAAACCUUCUGAUGAAAGUAGGUGAGUUUUGAAGUUGGAUUAAUCUGGAUUUUUAAUGUCAAUCAUAACAAUUCCUUGCUAUGCUUUUGGGAAAGUUAUUUCAACUCCCUGUGCCUCCAUUUCCAUCUUUAAAGGAGAAGGCUCUUCACAGGGUAGAUUUGUGGAGACGACAAGGCCACCUACUCCAUCCAGUGCCUGGCCUGGUAUCUAGAGUAUGACCAGGUCUCUGAAAUCUGGUUCCUUGCACAGCUCUUCCUGCCUCCUUACUCAUUCAUUAGGACAUUCACCGAGCAUGCUGUCAAUAAUAAAUAGCCAGGUAUUCUAGAGAACGUCAAAGUUGGCACUGGCUUUCUUUGGGGCAAGACAGAAUUUCCCCAACCUGGAAGUUAUGUCUAAAAUGUAUCAUUUGCACAUGACAUGAGGGAAAAUGGUAAAUAGAGAGAUUUUAAUUUUUUCGCCCUCUUUGUAAACAAUAAAAUGAUUUCGUUUGCUUGUUCAUGACAUUUUUAAAAGAAAUUAUAUUUUGGAGUAAUUUUAGGUUGAGAGCAAAAUUAAGCAGGAAGUACAGAAUUCCGCAUAUCUGCCCCACUACCCCACAAUUUUCUCUACCAUUAACAUUUUGUGUUAGGGAGGAGUUCCUGUUGUGGCUCAUUGAUAUCAGUUACAAACCUAACUGAUAUCAAUGAGGAUGUGGGCUUGAUCCCUGGCCUCGCUCAGUGGGUUAAAGAUCUGGUGUUGCCAUGAGCGGUGGUGCACGUUGCAGACGCGACUUGGAUCCUGCGUGGCUGUGGCUGUGGCAGUGGCAUAGGCUGGCAGCUGCAGCCCCGAUUAGUCCCCUAGCCUGGGAACUUCCAUAUGCUACAGGUGUGGCCCUUAGAAGCAAAUAAUAAUAAUAAUAAUAAUAAUUUUGUAUAAGUGUGGCCCAUUUGUUACAAUCCAGGAACCUACAUCCACACAUUAUCAAAAAAGUCCAUAGUUUAGGUAGGAGGCCCACUUUGUAUUGCACAUUCCAUGGAUCUUCACAAAUUAAUAAUGGCUAUAUCCACCAUUAUCGUGUCACACAGUGUGGUUUCACUGCCCUAAAAAGCCUCUGUGCUCCACUUCGUCAUCCUCCCCUCCCCCAGCCUCUGGCAAUCAUGGAUCUUUUUACUGUCUCCAUGGGUUUGCCUUUUCCAGAAUGUGUUAUAGUUGAGAUUGUACAGCAUGUAGCCUUUUCAGAUGAGGCUUGAUAGCUCAUUUCUUUUUAGCCGCUGAAUAAUAUGCCGUUUUAUGAAUACACUGGUUUAUUUAUCCAAUCAGCUAUUGAAGAACAUUUGAUUGCCUCCAAGUUUGGGCAAUUAUGAAUAAAGCUGAUAUAAACAUCGUGGGCAGGUUUCUGUGUGGACAUAACUUUUUAGCUCAUCUGGGCAAGUACCAAAGAGUACAAUUACCAGACUCUGUAGGAAGAGUAAGCUUCGUUUUGUGAGACUGCCAAACUGUUUUCCAAAGUGGCUGUACAACUUUGCAUUCCCACCAGCAAUGGCUAAGAGCUUCUGUUGGUUCACAUCCUUGUCAGCAUUUAGUGCUGUCAAUGUUCCGGAUUUUAGCGAUUGUAAUAGGUGUGUAGCGGUAUCUCAUUGUCUUAAUUUGCAAUCCCCUAAUGAGAAAUGAUGUUGAACAUCUUUUCAUAUUCUUAUUUGCCAUCUGUAUAUCAUAUUUGAUGAGCUGCCUGAUCUUUUGCCCAUUUUUAAUUGGGUUGUUCAUUUUUCACUGUUGAGUUUUAAGAGUUGUUUCUAUGUUUUUGGAAGGCAGUACUUCAUCAGCUGUGUCUUGUGCAAAUGCUCUCUACCCGUCUGUGUGGCUCAUCUUCUUAUUCUCUUGAUGGUUCAUGGAACUUCAGAAGGUAAUUUUCUGGUCCCUAAAAAGGAAAUAAAAGUGGAACACAAAAAGUUCUUAUGUUACAUUUAGUUGCAAAGUGCUAAGGGGAAUCUGAUGCUGAACAGAUCAGUAUCUGGAGACCUACUGGUUUACUCCUCUGUCUUUUCUCCAUCCCUGUUUUUGUCUCCAUCUCUUCCUGGGAGCUCUGGCUUCAAGCAUGGUGAUUCCUGGUAAAGGCAGUGUAUUGUUACUCAACAUAUUCAGAUAAGCCCUCUUUAUGUGUGUUCAUGCAAAGGAAUCUUGCCCCACCCUGCCUCUUAUUAGAGAAAGAGUGACCACAAAUACCCCUUUUUCUAUAGCUGCCAACCUUCUUAUCUAUAACCAAGACUCUGACAAAUCAGGCCUGAGUAAGAUCAAUUCUGUGGGGAUAAUGCAAUUAAGAGGUAAGUUGAGAGAAAUCUCUCCUUAUCAGACAAAUGGAAAAUUGCUAAUGAAAACAACUGGGACUGUUUGGGGACGUGCUCUGUCCAUGCUUUAUAAACUAGACUCUCUGCUCUAUGCAAUAAUUUCAGCAUGUGGCUAUUGGACGUGUCCGUAGAGGCAAACACAGGAGCGCUUGCGUUGUCCCCCGACUCUGCGUGUUCUCUUUGUGGUUGCCAUUCUCUAGGGGUCCCUUCAUUACUAGUGUUCAAAGGGGGACUGUCACUCAGCCUGGCAGACUGAGAGUUCAGAAGAUGAGCAACCAUUCCCAGCCAGAAAUAUAAAACAUGUUUGAAAAUAAAGUUGUUAAUGACAAUUGUCAUCAAAAACUUGCUCCUUCAAAUGCAUUUUUCAUGGUUUCCAAGCCCAGAGGAGCUUGUCUUGUAUUGAAAUUUCAUAUGGUUGGCUGACAGUGUGACAGACAUUCAUGCAUGUUUAAGUGUGUGCAAAGCACAUGGAAAGCAUACCUGCAUCUAAUGGCCAUCCAUCAACUGCAACCACACCCACACCCACAACUGCACUAUCAACUGUCCCCAGAGAGAGACAGGCUCACACCCCCAUGGGGCUCUGCAGACAACCAGCAAUGCCAUCUCUGGGCCUGGGCCUUUGGUGGAACCCUUCCUUCUGAGAGGAUUAAAAAAAAAUACCCUAAGAAUAUAACAAGCAAACAGAAAACCCUGAAUGCUUCAGCAGGUAGUGAGUUCAUUAUGGACAAAGAGGGAAAAAAUAACUCAAGCUACAUGAGGGGCAAAGGCAAUUCAUGUGAGGUGACCCCACUGGCCCAGAGGCAGAGCCCUUCACUCCCAUUGGCCCAAGGCAGAGCCCUUCGCUCCCAUUGGCCCAGCAUCCUCACCCAAAGGUACAUGCCCUUCUCUGCCUGAACUUUCCCCUCACACUGUUAAACUAACGGGGAUUCUACCAAUUAGUAAUGCAUUUAGGUUAAUAAGCUUCCUCUUGGAUAACUGAAGGGCUAAGAGUCACUCACACGUUGAUGUAAAUUUGUUUAAUUAGAGUUGUUUUUCAUAAGCCCCUUUCCCAGUGGUAAACCAGAAACCUGUUCAUGGAGGAGAGAAGAAAGGAAGGGCCAUUUACUGAGAGCCUCGAUGUGCCAGGCCUGGUCACUCUACAAACUUUAUCUCAUUAACUUUCAUGGGAGUAUUUUCAAAGUAGGAACAAUUAUCUCAUUUGACUCUUGAGAAAGUGGAGGUAUAGACAGGUUUAAAUAUUACUUGUCUGAUGCACCUGACAGGUGGAGGAGGUGGGAUUUAAAUCCAGGUCUGCGCUGGUCAUGAGUGGGGGCGUUGAUGGGGGAGGAGAGGAAGGCAGUGGCUUUGAAGGCGCUCAGGGUGGGCAUCUUUGAGGCUGGGCUAUGGAUGUCCUUAGAUUACGGGGUAUCUAAAGGCCUGUGUAGAGUCAAUGAUAGACCCUUAAGUGAUUUAUUUAUUCAUUAAAUCAAUCAAUAUGUUUUAAAUUAGAUGGUACACAGGGUACUUUUAAAAUCAUUGGGGAUGUGGAGAUGAAUACAAUAGGCUGGUGACAACCGUCAUGGGGCUCAGGGUCUAACUAAUAAUGGGAGUCAGAUGAUAACCAAAUGUACACAUAAUUUAAAAGAUGAUGUCAAAUAAUGAUAAAGGCAGCAAAGAGUCAAAACAAUAGCAAUGCAAUAGAGACCGAAGGAGGUGGGGUGAAUCAUGUCUUUAUGUGUCUGAGGAGCCUUCUCUCAUCUGACACCUGGAAGGUAGAGCAUCUUUCUGGGUAAAGAUCUACCUGAGGAGCCUUCUGGAUACAAGGAUAAGAAAGUGCACUGAUGGCUUUAGGCAGGUGGGACCUCCUGGGCUAAUGUGAUGGGAGCACAGUGAGUAGGGGGCUUGAGAAGGAGGAAACAUAGAAGCAUGGGUUUUUUUUGUAAUUUUUUCCCUAAUUGAAGCUAAGAGCCAUUGGGAGAUGUUUUGAAGGCAGGUGCUCUCUUAUUUUCAGAUGAGAAAGGUGGCAGCUGCAUAGAGAAUGUAAGAAUGGAGGUGGGUGGGAGUGGUGAGACUGGCUGUCUCAUGAUAUUAUCCAAGGGAGAGCUGAGUAUGACUUGACCCAGGAAGGGCCCAGACGGGAGGGAGAGAGAGGGAUUCAGAGUGGACAGAGGCAUCUAGUGGACUGGAUGUAAAAAAAGAAAAAAAAAA
ensembl:lncRNA